ACAUACGACCACAGGGUGUGGAAAACAGGGCUUCCCGUCCGCUCAGCCGUACUUAAGCCACACGCCGGGAGGUUAGUAGUUGGGUGGGU
rnacentral:rRNA from 1 species